GAUGAACGCUAGCGGGAGGCCUAACACAUGCAAGCCGAGCGGUAGAGUUUCUUCGGAAACUUGAGAGCGGCGCACGGGUGCGUAACACGUGUGCAACCUACCUUUAUCUGGGGGAUAGCCUUUCGAAAGGAAGAUUAAUACCCCAUAAUAUAAUGAUUGGCAUCAAUUAUUAUUGAAAACUCCGGUGGAUAGAGAUGGGCACGCGCAAGAUUAGAUAGUUGGUGAGGUAACGGCUCACCAAGUCAAUGAUCUUUAGGGGUCCUGAGAGGGAGAUCCACCACACUGGUACUGAGGCACGGACCAGACUCCUACGCGAGGCAGCAGUGAGGAAUAUUGGACAAUGGGUGAGAGCCUGAUCCAGCCAUCCCGCGUGAAGGAUGACGGUCCUAUGGAUUGUAAACUUCUUUUGUACAGGGAUAAACCUACCCUCGUGAGGGUAGCUGAAGGUACUGUACGAAUAAGCACCGGCUAACUCCGUG
rnacentral:rRNA from 1 species